ensembl:lncRNA
GUGACAUAGCAAGGAGACUCAUAUUUGAGCGAGGAGAAAUGGGAAGUUUUCUCUUUUUCCCCUUGGCUCCUGCUCCAGCGCCACGAUGUGAUCCACUGACAAGGAGGGAUGCCAAUAAGUGAGACACAACUGCUCCUGGCACACCAAUUAUGUCAAAAAGGAGGAUGGGCAUCGAAGAAACUCAUUAUGGAGUUUGCUUUCAACAUGGCAAGAUUAGCCAUUUGGGCAAGAAACUGCUCUUGCCUGGACUGUUUGUUGCUGCAUAAACUAGACAUACAGGACCCACAAGAAAGUGACUGCUGAACUUACAAAACAAGACAGUACUGAAGGGUUCCUGUUAAAAUGGAGAAGUGUGCCAGACACAAUGUGGCCUAUAGGCUGAAGAUGGAUGCCCCAACGUUACAGAGGAACUUUGGGUGACGGUCCAGGCAAACGGAUGGAACUAGAAGAAACCAUCCUGAGUGAGGUGACCCAGUCAAAAACAGACAAACAUGAGCCCUCAUCCAGUGGCUGAUGGAAGCAGAGGCAGACACCCACAGCUAAACACCAUGCUUAACUCUGGAACCCAAAGGCACAGAGGAAGGAGUGAAGAGCAACAAGGUCAAGACCAGGCUGGUGAAACCCACAGAAACAGCUAACCUGAACAAGGAGGAGUGCGUGGACCCCAGACUGAUGUCAGGGAGGCCAGCACAGAACUUAUACAGACCCCUGAAUUGUGGAUGUAAAUGAGGAGGCCUCGGCAUUCUAUGGGACCUCUGGCAGAAGAUUUGUGCCUAGCCCAUGUGUCUUCAGAGAGACUUCAUCCAGAAACUGAUGGAAAUAGAGGUGGAGACCCACAGUCAAACAUUAGGUCGAGCGCAGGAAAUCCUAUGGAAGAGGUGGAAGAUGGAUUGUAGGAGCUAAUGCUGUCAAGAACAUCACAAGAAAACCCACAGAAUCAACUAACCUGGGAUCAUAGGAGCUCAUAGAGACUGAAUCCAUAACCAGAGAUCUGCAUGGGCCAGAGCUAGGCCCUCUGCAUAUAUGUGACAGUUGUAUAGCUUGGUCUCUUGUAGGAUUGCUAACAGUGAAAACAGGAGCUAUACUUAAUGCUUUGGUUGGCUUUUGGGAUCCUAUUCCUCAUACUGGGUUGCCUUAUACAGCCUUAAUACAAGGGGAGGUGCUUAGUCUUACUGCAACUUGGCACACCAAACUUUUCUGACAUCCAUUGGAGGCCUGCCCUUUUUGAGUAGAAACAGAGGAGGACUGAAUGGGAGAGGGGCAGAGGGGAGUUUUAUGGUAGGGACUGGUAGGAGAGGAGGGAGGGGAAACUGAGGUUGGGAUGUAAAAUAAAGGAAUGAAUUAGCUAAAAACUUGUUUGAAGUGACACUAGCCCACUGAAGCAUGUGGCUGUGGCAGGCCUUGCUCUUCUCUCCCAAUUCCUUCUGCCUUGCUAAAAAACAAACAAACAAAACAAAACAAAAAGUUAGAUUAUAUCCCUAAAGUUAGCCACCAAGGUCUAUUCCCUUAUUUGGCCACUACCUCCUCCUGAGGUUGACUACCAAAGUCCAGCAAUCGGAAUCCCCCUUCUUACCUAAGUAACAUGCCCAAUUAAAACUAAACACCUCAUCCUAACUGAGGGUUUCCUAUGUGCCUAUGUGCCAUAUCUGUCUCCUCUGUUAUCCACAGGCAGUCCUUUGUCCCUCAUGGAACAAAUAGCUCUGUCCUCUUUCUGUUGUCCCCUUCCCCUCUCCCUCUCCCCUGUGUUUUUACCACCACUUCCGAGCCCAUUUUCACACAGACCUCCCCUUUUCCCCCUCUUGAGAAUUACACUGCAAGGCCAUUUGCUGCUAUUUUCUGCCUGAGUCAGAAAGCAGCCACUUUUGCUUUGCUUCACCACUUAAAGGAUCUCUCUGUGAAAACGGGUGUUUUGGCUGUGGUUUGUGCCUAACCCGGGGUCCAAGAAGGAGGCUCUGCUGUGUGGGAGUCCCUUUCAGAGUUGCCAUGGUAAUAUUGUCUCUUCACAGCAAUAAAACAGUGACCAAGACACUCAUGAUCCUCCUGCUCUACCUUCAUGAGUCCUGGGAUUACAAGUAUGUACAGACUCAGUUGUAACUUUACAUUCUAAGCCUCACAAUGUAUCCACAUGGCCUCUAGUCAACUAGACCUAUUCAGAUAUGGAAAGUCCUUGGCUUCAGAAUCAUUUGCCUUGUUUUAUGCCCUAAAGCAUCACUAUCCUGACUACUGCAUAAUUUAUUUUUAAAUCAAUAACAGCUGUGUUGUCAACAAUAUACACCUAUCUGUAAUCACAUCUUUAAUAGUUUACAGCAGGAAAGAGUUUCCAAUCUUAUGAACAACUAAAUAUCUUUUUAGAAACUCUUCAGGAAUAAUUAUCCAAAUUAAACUUACUUUGACCAUUUUCAUGCAGAAUCAACAAUUACAUGUAAGAUGAACACACACAUACACACACUCACUCACACACACUCACACACUCAUUUCCACUAAUAGUCACUGACUAUAUAUAGCUUUCAUCUUCUGCUGUAUACUUGUGUACUUACUGGGUUCCUUUGAAACUAAGGAGCCAGAGAGGUUGGUACGCUCCUGUAUUCCCAUAACUGUAGAGGUUGAGACAGAAGGAUCCCAAGUUUCAGGCCAGCACAUACUACAUGGUGAGUUCUAAGCCACCCCUAGGUUACUAGAGGUUACUAGUUAGACCUGACCUUGUUUAUGAAAACAAAGCAAAAAAAAAACAUAAUUGAUGCUUCCUUCAUUGCUUUACUUUUCUUGGUAUCUGGAAACGACUGUUACAAAUAUUAAAUUCACAUAUAUAAAUUGUCAGUUUACCCUGUACAGACUUUUACUUUGGAAAAUAUAGUAUAAUUUUUGUGUUGAAUUAUUGUUUUCUUGUUGUAUAAUUUUUUAUUUUUAUUUUUUUCUACUUUUGAUUUUGAGACUGACUUUCAUUAUGUGCUCUGGCUGACCUGGAACUCACUAUGUAGACCAGACUAGCCUUGAACGUACAAUUUUGUUUUCUGAGUACUGGAAUUAAAAGGCUCAUGCUACUAUGACUCACGUAUUUUUCUAUUUUUAUUAAACAAUUACAUAUUUGUAGUUAAACAAGUCAGUUCUUCAAAAUCCUGGGCAAGCUUUUUGAAAUUCUUAACAAGUAAUCUUACUUUCUAAAAGUCUUGUCCAUAUAUGUUCAAGUAAUAAGAGGAGGCUAAAAUCUCAUAGCUGAUAGCUGUGUCAUAUAUGUGUGUAUUUUAAGGCAGUCAUUUUUAUUCUCAUAUCUCUACAAAAACACUUAGGUUGAGACAUGCUAAAUGUCUCUGUAAGACUAAGCAGCUAACAAAUUGCAAAACCAGGAAUUUAACUCAGGAUUAUAACCAGUUUAAAAUGAGAAAGCUUUUAUUGCCUUCAUUAUGCUGUAAUGCUUCACAAUCUAUGAUUACUAUACAAGAGUUUAAAUAUUUAGAAUGAAUUUCACAGAAGCAUAUCAAUUCCUUUCCAGGUGUUUUGCAUUAACCUUAUGCACAGUCAUCUUUUAUUCAUUAUUUGAUUCAACAAAUAUUUAUCAAGUGCCUAAUAUAUACCAGUCAUUUCUCAAGGAGCUAUAUGGUGGCAAUCCAAAGUCUCUAUUCUUACUGACUUCUAAUAGAAAAGGUAGAAAUAACACAAAAACAUAAAAGAUAAUAUGGCAUAAGGUAACUAAAAAAAAAAAGAAGUCACAGUUUCAGUGUGUUAAGUGCUAUGUGGGGUCAAAUUAGGAUCUAUAAAUAACUAUGGAUGAUGGAGAUGCCUAUAAACAUCACCUUUUUAGAUAAAGACAUAAAAUAAUAUACUUUUAACUGUACUCAGCUGAGCCAAACUCCUGGAAUCCAGUUGUAGAGAGGGAGGAGUAAUGAGCAAUGGAAUCAAGACCAGGCUGGUGAAACCCACAGAAACAGCUAACCUGAACAAGGGAGCUCAUGGUCCCCAGACUGACAGCUGGGAAACCAGCACAGGACUGAAUGUGGGUGUUAGUUAGGAGGUCUGGGCAGUCUAUGGGGCCUCUGGUCAUGGAACACUAUUUAUCCCUAGAGCAUGAAUGGAAUUUGGGAGCCCAUUCCCCAUAUAGGGAUACUCUCUCAGCCUAGACACAUGGGGGAGGGUCUAGGCCCUGAUCCAAAUGAUAUGACAG